rnacentral:rRNA from 1 species
CGGGUGGUAAUGCCGGAUGUUCCACAUGAUCGCAUGUGAUUGUGGGAAAGAUUCUAUCGGCGUGGGAUGGGGUCGCGUCCUAUCAGCUUGUUGGUGAGGUAACGGCUCACCAAGGCUUCGACGGGUAGCCGGCCUGAGAGGGCGACCGGCCACAUUGGGACUGAGAUACGGCCCAGACUCCUACGGGAGGCAGCAGUGGGGAAUAUUGCACAAUGGGCGCAAGCCUGAUGCAGCGACGCCGCGUGAGGGAUGGAGGCCUUCGGGUUGUAAACCUCUUUUGUUUGGGAGCAAGCCUUCGGGUGAGUGUACCUUUCGAAUAAGCGCCGGCUAACUACGUGCCAGCAGCCGCGGUAAUACGUAGGGCGCAAGCGUUAUCCGGAUUUAUUGGGCGUAAAGGGCUCGUAGGCGGCUCGUCGCGUCCGGUGUGAAAGUCCAUCGCUUAACGGUGGAUCUGCGCCGGGUACGGGCGGGCUGGAGUGCGGUAGGGGAGACUGGAAUUCCCGGUGUAACGGUGGAAUGUGUAGAUAU